AGGAUCAUUAACAAAUUCAUGAAUGUAUAUAUAAUUGAGAAAUGGUUAAUGUAGUAAUAUGUUGACAGCUAUACGCAGAUAUUGUAGUCGUUUAUAAAACUAAUGUAAUUAAUACAACUUUUAACAAUGGAUCUCUUGGCUCUCGCAACGAUGAAGAACGCAGUGAAUUGCGAUAACUAGUGUGAAUUGCAUUACUUUGUGAAUCAUCGAGUCUUUGAACGCAUAUUGCACUGUUUGGCCCUCCAAACAGUAUGCCUGUUUGAGUAUCAUGAAAAUUCUACAAACUAUUUUGUUUGUGACGUGGGCAAUAAGCACGAGUGUGUGCUUUUGUCUUGAAUAUAGCAAUGAAAAUGGUUUUGGUUGCGUGCACAAGUCCAUUCGCAACAAGUGCAGUAUGCCUUGCAACGAUUAGACUAGCAUGGAAUUGAUACCACAUAAAAAUUCAUUGACGAAUGUACUAAUCAUACAAUACCAAAAAUUGAUCCCAAAUCAGGCAAGAUUACCCGCUGAACUUAAGCAUAUCAGUAAGCGGAGGAAAAGAAACUAACUAGGAUUCCUUCAGUAACGGCGAGUGAAGCAGGAACAGCUCAAAUUUGUAAUCGGCUUAAGUCGAAUUGUAAUUAAUAGAACCGUAGUCAUCCUGAUUGAUUUAUCAAAGUAGUUUAAUCUUUGGGAUAUUGAUGCCUUUGUACGGGAAUGAGCUACUUUUAUCGAUCAAAGUAAAACUGGUAAAAGUUUGCUGGAGCGCAACAUCAUAGAGGGUGACAAUCCCGUCUUUGGCCUUGGCACACGGUUUUAUGAUGCGGCUUCAACGAGUCGGGUUGUUUGGGAAUGCAGCCCAAAAUGGGUGGUAUACUCCAUCUAAAGCUAAAUAACGGCGAGAGACCGAUAGCGAACAAGUACCGUGAGGGAAAGAUGAAAAGAACUUUGAAAAGAGAGUUAAAAGUGCGUGAAAUUGUUAAAAGGGAAGAGAUUGGCACCAGUAUUGUCAGUGUUGAAGGCUACAGGCGAACGGAAGAUUGUGGAGGAUGGAGCGCAAGCACAUUUUCUGUUGUUGGAAGGGAGCAAGUGGUCCGCUCUGCACCGACAAGUCAGCAUCAGUUUCAUCUGCUGGACAGCCAGUAAGGAAGGUAGCGAGGUGCGAAAGCAUCACGAACUUAUAGCCUUGCGUCGGCCGCAGUGGAAGAGACUGAGGAGUGCAACGUCAGGUUGCCAGUGUAACAAUGCCAUAUCUAGUGCCGAAUGCACUGCUCGCAGAGCACCGGCUAGACAAGGUUAUUUGUUGCUUUGGCGUAUGGCGUACAGGAUGCUGACGAAAUGGUUAUAACCGACC
rnacentral:rRNA from 1 species